rnacentral:sRNA from 1 species
CAGUUGUCGGUGUAACCUUUCGACAAGGCC